GUGCGGCCCUGUGCUGGUAGCGCACUGACCCCGAAGGGGAUUUAGCGGGAAGGGAGCGACCGGGUUCUGGGGGCUUUGUCCGGGGGCGCCCAGAAAGGCCGAGGCACAAGAAUAAGAAGCGGCUGCAGCGUGAAAGGCUGCGAGGAGCGGCGGCGCUGCUGCUCUUGACUUCUGAGCAGGGCUUAGAAGGCCUGCCCCGGCUUAAGUUGAACUGAGGGUGCUGAGUCCUGAGCGCCGAGUUCAGGAGCCCUGAGUCCUGGCCUCUAGGCUGAGGAGGCGUGGGAUAGGGGCGGACGCUGGAGUAGUGGGUCUUCUUGCGACAACCCCCUCUUGGAUCUUACAGCCUUGCUACCCUAGCGCAAGGUUGUUAGCCUAGCUUGCCGCGUCUGGCAUAGCCAAAGAAAUUUACUUUCCCAGCUUGGCUUUUGCUUUUGUGUGUCCACCUCGAGCAGAUCCGGAGCUGGCCGACCCCAGACUGAUUCUCAACAGGUGGCUGGGGGGCUGCGUAGAGGAUUCGGCAGUUUCUCGGCCACAAGGACGGAGUUUCCUAAGAAGGGAAAGAAGAGUGCGGGCAGAGAGGAGAGGUCCGAGGGGGAAAAGAGAGGCCUGAGGACGCUCUGGCGGCUCCAGUACCAAGCCUUGGUAUCUUUGGGAUUCUGGGGAGAGUGGAAGGGUUUACAAACUACACAUAAAUCGGUGAACUUGAACCACUGUGUAUCCCGAUUUUGCAUUGAGCCGGGCCCUGCGCACCCGGAAUGCUGAAGUGGCCAAGGGCAGAGAGGGGUGUAUUUGCAACUCGUGGUUUCUUCGGUUAAACAAACCCCAACCCGUAGCCUCAGCAACAACAACAAAAACUGCAAGUGCAGGAAGCAAAAUUAAACAUAAUUCCUUUUAUUUAUCUGUUGCAUUUAUAUCAUUAAAAUAUUUUUGGUUACGUUGUAUAGAAUAGCAUCCACUCUGAUUAUUACCUGCCAUAUCGGCUGUAUUCAACACAGCAAAAUUAACAAUUAAGAAAAUAAAGGCACAUCUUAUAUAUU
rnacentral:lncRNA from 1 species